CACAGAAGCCCCCAUUUCCAGUUCGUUUCGAACCAGCUGGUUGGGGGGCAGCCAUGGAAGAUCUGCACAUGCAUGGGGAGCCGUCGAUCUUUGUUUGGGAGGUGCACGGGUUUGUGCCCCUGCUUGACUGGUUGCCCUCUUAGUUAUGUUCCUUAAUGAACAGUACAAUGGCCUUUUUGCCAUGAUGCCCAACGACAUACCCCUUUUGCCCUGUGCGCUUCUCUCCCCCGGCGAAUUCAUCUCAUCUCAUCUGCUCUUCGUUGUUCAGCCAUCUUUCCAGCUGCGCUUCAUCCUUCUUCUCAUCGCACGGGUUUAGCUCAAAGAGAUUUCUAGGUUUCGUAAAAAAGGGAGGAAGAUCUAAGGAAAAAGAACUGGAGUAAUCAAUUUGAGAACCCCCAGUCUGCUCAUCAAUCUGAUACAAUUUUUGCUGCUGAUCUUGGUGAGGAGCUUGGCUUUUGCAUGAGUGCUGUCUAACUACUUUUGGACUGUUUGAUAGCUCUUCCCAUUGCUGUUAGGCAACAGUUUCCACCAGUACCAGGUUGUUUGGAGGAAGCUCCCUACGGCAUUUGAUGAGCUCCCUCAGAUUUGCGGAAUGAAGCUCUGGGCAUAAUCGUUCAGCUCAGCUUAUGUGAUCCCAAAUCUUCAUCGGUGAAUUUUGCAUUAGACUUAAUAUUGUGGUAAGUGCUUGCCAUUAAUGAGUUGCUAGGGACUGGAAUCGAUACGCAGGAUACAUCUCCUUCAGUGUUGCUAUUCUUUGACAAGCAAAGAUUUAUAUUUAAUGUUGGAGAGGUGGUCUUUUGUUGCUUUGGAUAGAGCGGUUUGGUUGGUGUUUUCAGUUCUGUUAAGUAAGGGGUGAGUUUCUAGGCUGAAAUUUCAAUUAAUUGUUUCAAGUUUUGUGAAUAGAGCAUAGAAAUGAGCUAAUGGCAUCAAUUGACAAUUGGUUGGUAUUAUUUUUUUGUUGUAAUGAUAGGUUUAGAUGAUUACAAUAUUUGAACAUGUUGGUAAACCCUUUGAGUGUUUUGGCAAUUGGGUAGUUGAGAUGUUCCCUGCCUAUUUUCAUCGCUUUAUACACAUUUCACGCAAUUUUAAAACCCGCAGCAUCGCGCGGGCACCUUUUGCUAGUAUUUUA